rnacentral:lncRNA from 1 species
AUAAAAAGGAGACUAGAGCUCAGUCAUUUGAAGUGAUUGGAAGGUUUGUGGUUAGCCAAUAGCAUAUGAUUUGUCAACUGUGUUUAAAGUCUUCCAGAGGGAAGAAGCUUAUGUUAUUUGUAUGUCUUCAGAAAAGGAGAGUUUCUGAGGGUUUCCACACCUCCUGGUUCACUGAGGCCUUUGAAAAUAGGCACCUGAGAGUCUGAAGUUGUUUACUUCUCCUCCCUCCCAUCUCAUCUCCCACUUCCUGCACCUGUGCAGGUGACUGCAAUGACCCCAGUGGCUACAUUUAGAAGAACACUGUGGAGAAGACUGAGGAAAUUUGGAAAUACAGCAACAGAAGUUAAAGUACCACAGGGUAUGACAAGAAAGAAGGAUAAGAAAUUCUCGGAUACUCUCCCUGCUUUUUGCUGAUUCUAAUUUGGGCUACAUUUCAUCCUGGCAAUUCAGGAAGAAAAACUGGAAGCUAUUCCUGGCUCAGCUGUCAAACAGACAGCAAAUGAAGGUUAUCUCAGAUGUGUCUCCUCUACUCCUGAGAGAACAUGGUGCGACUUAACAUUUCUUCAGUAACAUCAUUACUGUUGACAUCUUGAUGCAAGGAUGGGCAGUUUGCCAAUCUCGUCAUUUUGGAAGCAAAUUGGUUCAAGUAAUCGCCUAAAACAGCCUCUUGUAAGGAGCUUUAAGCAUAAGAGACUGCAUCCAUCAUUUCCAACUGUGAAGAAGAAACUAUUUCCCCACUAAAUGAUUUGAAAGUUUGAAGAGAUUUUAGAUGUGCUGAUGGAACACAGACUUCUGGUGUGGAUUCAAAGCAUGAUGGCAAGAAUUCAGUGUUGUCAAAUAUUCAAUUUAAAUUUGCCCUGUUAUUUACAUUCUCUAUGCUAAUACCUAUUAUUAUAUAAAUGAAUUUUGCUCCUACAGUGAAUCACUCAUUCUAUCUGGAGUCCUGCGUUUUAUUCCUCUAGCUGCACUUUGUAAAUGCGGUGCUCUUGGGUUUUAUCUUCUAGUGUUUCCUUUGUCCUACACAACUAAGAGUGGGCGUCCUGCUGAAUAGCAGACGCUGAUUUUAUAUCCACAAUAACAAUUCUAGUCAAGCGAGAUUGAUUUGACCGAGUGAUAACCCAUAAUUCACAGCACCGGGGCUCUCAAUUUAUGGAUUAGGUGAAUUUCCUCUCACUCAUCCCCCGCUUAUUUUUUCAAUUGUCACUGGAAAUAUUUAUGUGCAGCCAAAUGAAACAGUCCUAGUCACCACCCCGACGAUGGUCAUUGAUCCAAUUUUAUACUGGACAGUCCAGUUUUCAGCUGGUCUGUCUUUGUUUCUUAAUCAAUAUAUCAAUGAAUGCUUUUAUGUCUGGUAUUUUACUUUCAGCACCCAGCC